rnacentral:misc_RNA from 1 species
CACAUGGAGACAACCUUGAGGGACAG